UACGUAGGGUGCGAGCUUUGUCCGGAAUUAUUGGGCGUAAAGAGCUCGUAGGCGGUUUGUCGCGUCGGCCGUGAAAACUUGGGGCUUAACUCCAAGCUUGCGGUCGAUACGGGCAGACUUGAGUUCGGCAGGGGAGACUGGAAUUCCUGGUGUAGCGGUGAAAUGCGCAGAUAUCAGGAGGAACACCGGUGGCGAGGGCGGGUCUCUGGGCCGACACUGACGCUGAGGAGCGAAAGCGUGGGGAGCGAACAGG
rnacentral:rRNA from 1 species